rnacentral:rRNA from 1 species
AGAGUUUGAUCCUGGCUCAGAACGCUGGCGGCGUGCUUAACACAUGCAAGUCGAACGGUGAACACGGAGCUUGCUCUGUGGGAUCAGUGGCGAACGGGUGAGUAACACGUGAGCAACCUGCCCCUGACUCUGGGAUAAGCGCUGGAAACGGCGUCUAAUACUGGAUAUGUGACGUGACCGCAUGGUCUGCGUUUGGAAAGAUUUUUCGGUUGGGGAUGGGCUCGCGGCCUAUCAGCUUGUUGGUGAGGUAAUGGCUCACCAAGGCGUCGACGGGUAGCCGGCCUGAGAGGGUGACCGGCCACACUGGGACUGAGACACGGCCCAGACUCCUACGGGAGGCAGCAGUGGGGAAUAUUGCACAAUGGGCGAAAGCCUGAUGCAGCAACGCCGCGUGAGGGAUGACGGCCUUCGGGUUGUAAACCUCUUUUAGCAGGGAAGAAGCGAAAGUGACGGACCUGCAGAAAAA